GAUGAAGAACGCAGCGAAAUGCGAUAAGUAAUGUGAAUUGCAGAAUUCAGUGAAUCAUCGAAUCUUUGAACGCACAUUGCGCCCGCCAGUAUUCUGGCGGGCAUGCCUGUUCGAGCGUCAUUUCAACCAUCAAGCCCCCGGCUUGUGUUGGGGACCUGCGGCUGCCGCAGGCCCUGAAAACCAGUGGCGGGCUCGCUGUCACACCGAGCGUAGUAGAUUUUCAUCUCGCUCAGGGCGUGCUGCGGGUUCCGGCCGUAAAAAGCCUUAUUUACCCUAGGUUGACCUCGGAUCAGGUAGGAAGACCCGCUGAACUUAAGCAUAUCAAUAAGCGGAGGA
rnacentral:misc_RNA from 1 species